GCUAUACAUGCAGUCGAGCGGACGCACUUGGGAGCUUGCUCCCUUGGUUCAGCGGCGGACGGGUGAGUAACACGUGGGCAACCUGCCUGGCAGAUCGGGAUAACUUCGGGAAACCGGAGCUAAUACCGGAUAAUUUGUUCCCUCUCUGAGGGAAAGCUGAAAGAUGGUUUCGGCUGUCCUUACAGGAUGGCCCGCGGCGCAUUACUAGUUGGUGAGGUAACGGCUCACCAAGGCAACGAUGCGUAGCCGACCUGAGAGGGUGAUCGGCCACACUGGGACUGAGACACGGCCCAGACUCCUACGGGAGGCAGCAGUAGGGAAUCUUCCGCAAUGGACGAAAGUCUGACGGAGCAACGCCGCGUGAGUGAUGAAGGUUUUCGGAUCGUAAAACUCUGUUGUUAGGGAAGAACAAGUACCGGAUUACCUGCGGGUACCUUGACGGACCCCAACCAAAAAGCCACGGUUAAUUACUGGCCACCACCCCCGGUAAUACUUAGGUGGCAAGCGUUGUCCGAAAUUAUUGGCCGUAAAGCCCGCGCAGGCGGUUCUUUAGUUCUAAUGUGAAAGCCCACGGUUCACCCGGGAAGGGUCAUUGAAAACUGGGGAACUUGAUGGCAAAAAAGAAAGUGGAAAUUCAACUGGUAGCGUUGAAUGGCUUAAGAAUGUGAAGAAACACCAUUGGCGAAGGCAACUCUUUGUCCUGUAACUAAGGUUGAGGCGCAAAACCUUGGGGGAGCACCAGAAUUAGAUACCCUGUUAUUCCACGCGGUAACAAUGAUGGCUAAUGGUAAGAGGGUUCCCGCCCUUUAUGGCUGCACCAAACGCAUUAGCCAUUCGGCUGGGGGAGUACGGCCCAAGGCUGAAACUUCAAAGGAAUUGACGGGGCCCGCACAAGCGGUGGAACAUGUGUUUAAUUCGAGCACGGCGAGAACCUUACAGGUCUUGACCUUCUCCUGACAGCCUAG
rnacentral:rRNA from 1 species